UUCCAUAUUCCAUAUAAAUAGCAAAAGAGACACUCAAAAAGGUUUUUUGUACAAAUACAAAGAAAUAUGCAUAAACGGCUUUUCCAAAAUAGGCUUAAAUCCCCACCUCUCAAUACAGUUGCUAUAGUGCUGUACAUUCAUGGUUCGCAAAUUACGGUGGCCAGAAAAUUGUAUCUUCCAGCAAUGUGAUGGCUGAUGGGGAACCUCAGAAAAGGUCUUCGCGUUUCGCCGUACUCCUAUCAGCACUUCCUCAGGAUAAUUUCACUGGUGUCUGCCGCACUCGGUAUAUGUAGGAGUUUGUAUACACACAAGUUGUAUUUAUUAUAUAGUUCCAACUUAUUUUGUUGUGCUGUACAGUGUCGGAAGGGGAGGGGAUUAAGAACAAUUGAGACAAGCUAUUACACAUUUUGACAGGAAUGCUAGGUUGACAAGGACCCUCUUCGAAUGAGCAUACAAUCUAGAGAGUAUUUCAUAAAAAUGUAUAUUUAUGAAGUACUCAUAAACUACAUAACUGUGACACCGCUACUUCAGUAGCAAUGAGGUGUAUUGUAGAUCGGGGUCCAAACAUUUCCAUUGAUUGAUCAUCCUUUCUCUGAGUAACGAAGCAAGGUCCAAGGUCUGUAGAUCCACAGCUGGUUGGGGUAGCAAUCACUUACUAUCUGGAGAACAUGACUGGUUACCAAAUCCUUUUUACAUGUUUAUAAUGUUUACCUUUAUUGAAACAGAAGAAAACAGAAAUUGUUUUAGACAUCGAUUAGACAUCGGCAAUGGAAUUUUUUGGAAAUUGGUAAAAGAAAAAAUUACAAUGCAAUCACAGUUAUUUUUAUUGUGGC